GACGAACGCUGGCGGUGUGCUUAACACAUGCAAGUCGAACGGUAAGGCCCUUUCGGGGGUACACGAGUGGCGAACGGGUGAGUAACACGUGAGUAACCUGCCCUCAUCUCUGGGAUAACAGUCGGAAACGGUUGCUAAUACUUGAUAUGAGCUUGCAAGGCAUCUUGUGGGUUGGAAAGAUUUUUUUUGGUUGGGGAUGGACUCGCGGCCUAUCAGCUUGUUGGUGAGGUAGUGGCUCACCAAGGCUUCGACGGGUAGCCGGCCUGAGAGGGCGACCGGCCACAUUGGGACUGAGAUACGGCCCAAACUCCUACGGGAGGCAGCAGUGGGGAAUAUUGCACAAUGGACGGAAGUCUGAUGCAGCAACGCCGCGUGCGGGAUGACGGCCUUCGGGUUGUAAACCGCUUUCAAUUGUGACGAAGCUUUUUUGUGACGGUAGCAGUAGAAGAAGCACCGGCUAACUACGUG
rnacentral:rRNA from 1 species